CGGAUUGCCAGAGAUGGCUUAGUGCUCGAAAGAGAACCGUAACACAGGUGCUGCAUGGCUGUCGUCAGUUCGUGUCGUGAGAUGUUGGGUUAAGUCCCGCAACGAGCGCAACCCUUGUCAUUAGUUGCUACAUUUAGUUGGGCACUCUAAUGAGACUGCCGGUGACAAACCGGAGGAAGGUGGGGAUGACGUCAAGUCCUCAUGGCCCUUAUAGGUGGGGCUACACACGUCAU
rnacentral:rRNA from 1 species